rnacentral:piRNA from 1 species
UACAAAGUAGUCCACUGUCAAAGGACCUCC